rnacentral:rRNA from 1 species
UACGUAGGGUGCAAGCGUUAAUCGGAAUUACUGGGCGUAAAGCGUGCGCAGGCGGCUUUGCAAGACAGAUGUGAAAUCCCCAAGCUUAACUUGGGAACUGCAUCCGAUACUGGAUGGCUUGAAUCCGGGAGAGGGAUGCAGAAUUCCAGGUGUAGCGGUGAAAUGCGUAGAUAUCUGGAGGAAUACCGGUGGCGAAGGCGGCAUCCUGGACCGGCAUUGACGCUGAGGAGCGAAAGCUAGGGGAGCAAACGGG